rnacentral:rRNA from 1 species
GGUUUGAUUCUGGCUCAGAUUGAACGCUGGCGGGAUGCUUUACACAUGCAAGUCGAACGGCAGCACGGACUUCGGUCUGUGGCGAGUGAAGUAGAACGGGUGAGUAAUGUAUCGGAACGUGCCUAGUAGCGGGGGAUAACUACGCGAAAGCGUAGCUACCAAGCCGCAUACGCCCUUCGGGGAAAGCGGGGGACCUUCGGGCCUCGCACUAUUAGAGCGGCCGAUAAUGGAUUAGCUAGUUGGUGGGGUAACGGCUCACCAAGGCGACGAUCCGUAGCUGGUUUGAGAGGACGACCAGCCACACUGGGACUGAGACACGGCCUGGCUCCUACGGAGGCAGCAGGGGGAAUUUUGGACAAUGGGGGAGACCCCAUCCAGCCAUCUCGCAAGUGCGGGUAAGUGAUGAAGGUCGGGUUGUAAAGCACUUUGGCAGGAAGAAACGGCACGGGAUAAUACGUGCAACUGACGGUACCUGCAGAAUAAGCACCGGCUGCACUACGUACAGCAGCCGCGGUAAUACGUAGUGGGUGCAAGCGUUAAUCGGAAUUACUGGGCGUAAAGCGUGCGCAGGCGGUUCGGAAAGAAAGAUGUGAAAUCCCAGAGCUUAACUUUGAACUGCAUUUUUAACUACCGUGAGCUAGAGUGUGUCAGAGGGAGGUGGAAUUCCGCGUGUGUAGCAGUGAAAUGCGUAGAUAUGCGGAGGAACACCGGAUGGCGAAGGCAGCUCUGGGGAUAACACCGACGCUCAUGCACGAAAGCGUGGGGAGCAAACAGAUUAGGAUACCCUGGUAGUCCACGCCCUAAACGAUGUCAACUAGCUGUUGGGGCCUUCGGGCCUUGUAGCGCAGCUAACGCGGUGAAGUUGACCGCCUGGGGAGUACGGUCGAUUAAACCUAAAGGAAUUGACGGGACCCGCACAGCGGUGGAUGAUGUGGAUUAAUUCGAUGCAACGCGAAAAACCUUACCUACCCUUGACAUGUCUGGAAUCCCGAAGAGAUUUGGGAGUGCCUGCAAGAGAACCGAACACAGGUGCUGCAUGGUUGUCGUCAGCUCGUGUCGUGAGAUGUUGGGUUAAGUCCCGCAACGAGCGCAACCCGUCAUUAGUUGCUACGAAAGGGCACUCUAAUGAGACUGCCGGUGACAAACCGGAGGAAGGUGGGGAUGACGUCAAGUCCCUCAUGGCCCUUAUGGGUAGGGCUUACACGUCAUACAAUGGUCGGGACAGAGGGUCGCCAACCCGCGAGGGGGAGCCAAUCCCAGAAACCCGAUCGUAAAUGUCCGGAUCGCAGUCUGCAACCUGACUGCGUGAAGUCGGAAUCGCUAGUAAUCGCGGAUCAGCAUGUCGCGGUGAAUACGUUCCCGGUCUUGUACACACCGCCCGUCACACCAUGGGAGUGGGUUUUACCAGAAGUAGUUAGCCUAACCGUAAGGAGGCGAUUACCACGGUAGGAUUCAUGACUGGGGUGGUCGUAACAAGGU